rnacentral:rRNA from 1 species
GAUGAACGCUAGCUACAGGCUUAACACAUGCAAGUCGAGGGGUAACGAGAGGGAAGCUUGCUUUCCUUGUCGACGACCGGCGCACGGGUGAGUAACGCGUAUCCAACCUACCCCCAACUAGGGAAUAACCUUGCGAAAGUAAGACUAAUACCCUAUAAUUUCCUCAAACGCCAUCUGACGAGGAAUAAAGAUUUAUCGGUUGUGGAUGGGGAUGCGUCUGAUUAGCUUGUUGGCGGGGUAACGGCCCACCAAGGCAACGAUCAGUAGGGGUUCUGAGAGGAAGGUCCCCCACAUUGGAACUGAGACACGGUCCAAACUCCUACGGGAGGCAGCAGUGAGGAAUAUUGGUCAAUGGGCGGAAGCCUGAACCAGCCAAGUAGCGUGCAGGAUGACGGCCCUUCGGGUUGUAAACUGCUUUUGUACGGAACGAAAAGCCCCGGGUUAAUACCCUGGGGUCAUGACGGUACCGUAAGAAUAAGCACCGGCUAACUACGUGCCAGCAGCCGCCGUAA